rnacentral:tRNA from 1 species
GGUGGCUCAGUGGUAGAGUGUUUGUCUUGCAUGCAUAAGGCCCUGGGUUCGAUUCCUCAGCACCA